AAUACCUCCAAAGAGGAGAAGAAAGAAAAAGGACUCACCUAGCCAUGAAAAAGAAGAGGCACUCUCUAUCAUUGCCCCCUCUUCCUUCCUCUCUUUCCUUUUCUUUCUUUCUUUGUUCUUAUUUCAAGAAAGUAUUUAAGAUUUAAUUAAAGGUAAGUGUAACUAAGUAUAAAUAUUCAAGAAAUAUUUUAUAUGUUGUAUUUUCAUGACAUAUGCUUCCAAUUUAUCUCAUGUAUUUAUAACAUACAUGUUUAUGUGGUGAAUUUGAGGGUAAUCAACAACUCUACACACAUCUCUUUUCUGGGUUUAGGUUUUUAAUAAUUUUCAUGCUUUUCUAUUUUUACAAAAACUGUAAAAAAAAUUAUGGUUGUGUUCUUUGUGGAAUUCUAAUAAUUUUAGGCUAAAAUUCAUGAAAAAGCUUCUGAUUUUAGUUAGUUAUGGCCAUUAAAUUUAGGGUGUCUACAGAAUCCAUUUUGCAAAAUAGCAGGAUUUUGGAGCCUAUAUUAUUCUGGAUUUUUAAUCUUUCCUGUGUUUCUUGAUUUUAAAAAUAAGCUCAGGAUCUUAUCUAACUUUUCCCGUUAGUUUCAUGUCAAUACAUUUUGUGGUUUGUGAGAUACGCCAAUUUUAAAAUAGUAGUGUUAAUCUGUCUCUAAUGUGAAAUAGUAGUGAACCCUGAAUUUUGUAGAUUAUUGGAUGAGGUCUUUUUAUCAAUUAUUAAUUUUAUAAUUUUGUAUGAUAUAUUAGCACGCUUCUAGAAUUUUUUUGUAAUUUUUGUAUAUGUUUUGAUGACAUUAAAAAUUUAAAUUUCAAAGUAUUGUAAAUCUACCUAGAUCUAAAAAUUUCAU
rnacentral:misc_RNA from 1 species